rnacentral:rRNA from 1 species
UUGACCUCAGAUCAGGUAGGA